GACCGUGUGUCACCAGCUCUGGUUUCAGGUGCUCACUGAGCGCGUGCAGUGGCCGUGGCGGAAACGCAGGGAAUGGAGGGGUGGGGUGGGCUGGCACACUCUACCUCAUGAAUACGAGGAGCGGAACAGAUUAGAAGGGCGCCACUGAUCCCCUCCGCUGCCAGCACCCGCUGGGGCAGCACAUUGGCGGGAGGCCGAAGGGGAUAAGAUGGAAAUGAUAAUAACCGCAGUCUGAGGCAAGGGAUGACCUGGAGAUCCAGAGUGAUAGCAGAGAGGAGCAGGAGAAGGACACCGUGGACACAGGGUGAUGAGAGACACCCACCUAUCCAAGGGGAUGGGACAGAGAGAAGGAGGGAAGUAGGCAGCAGCGGAGCCGAACGCACUCAAUGAAGCGAUGACAUUAAAAAUGCACUAAUUAGAAAAAAUCCAGAACUCACAAGGUCUCACUAAACAACCCCCUCGCAACCCCUUGUGACCAUGGUGACAACACUGCGAGAACACAUCAGGGAACCACGACAAAACCUGCGAGGAACAUUCCCCCAAGAGGCGCAGUGCAUUUCCAAUGACAAAACUAAACUGCAAGCAACAACAUCUUCAAUAUUCAUGUAUUAAAAGACA